rnacentral:rRNA from 1 species
AGUGAACGCUGGCGGUAGGCCUAACACAUGCCAGUCGAACGGCAGCACAGUAAGAGCUUGCUCUUACGGGUGGCGAGUGGCGGACGGGUGAGGAAUACAUCGGAAUCUGCUUUUUCGUGGGGGAUAACGUAGGGAAACUUACGCUAAUACCGCAUACGACCUACGGGUGAAAGCAGGGGAUCUUCGGACCUUGCGCGAUUGAAUGAGCCGAUGUCGGAUUAGCUAGUUGGCGGGGUAAAGGCCCACCAAGGCGACGAUCCGUAGCUGGUCUGAGGGGAUGAUCAGCCACACUGGAACUGAGACACGGUCCAGACUCCUACGGGAGGCAGCAGUGGGGAAUAUUGGACAAUGGGCGCAAGCCUGAUCCAGCCAUACCGCGUGGGUGAAGAAGGCCUUCGGGUUGUAAAGCCCUUUUGUUGGGAAAGAAAAGCAGCAGGUUAAUACCCCGCUGUUCUGACGGUACCCAAAGAAUAAGCACCGGCUAACUUCGUG